rnacentral:rRNA from 1 species
UACGUAGGUGGCAAGCGUUGUCCGGAAUUACUGGGCGUAAAGGGCGUGUAGGCGGCCUUUUAAGUCAGACGUGAAAUAUCAGGGCUUAACCCUGAGGCUGCGUUUGAGACUGGAAGGCUUGAGGAUCGGAGAGGGCAGUGGAAUUCCCAGUGUAGCGGUGAAAUGCGUAGAUAUUGGGAGGAACACCAGUGGCGAAGGCGGCUGCCUGGACGACACCUGACGCUGAGGCGCGAAAGCUAGGGGAG